GAUCCUGGCUCAGGAUGAACGCUGGCGGCGUGCUUAACACAUGCAAGUCGAACGAACCUUCGGGUUAGUGGCGGACGGGUGAGUAACGCGUGGGAAUCUGCCCUCAGGAGGGGGAUAACGGCUGGAAACGGCCGCUAAUACCCCAUAUGCCGAGAGGUGAAAUGAAUUUCGCCUGAGGAUGAGCCCGCGUCUGAUUAGCUAGUUGGUGAGGUAAGAGCUCACCAAGGCAUCGAUCAGUAGCUGGUCUGAGAGGAUGAUCAGCCACACUGGGACUGAGACACGGCCCAGACUCCUACGGGAGGCAGCAGUGGGGAAUUUUCCGCAAUGGGCGAAAGCCUGACGGAGCAACGCCGCGUGAGGGAUGAAGGCCUCUGGGCUGUAAACCUCUUUUCUCAAGGAAGAAGAUCUGA
rnacentral:rRNA from 1 species